rnacentral:rRNA from 1 species
UAGGGAAUCUUCGGCAAUNNNGGCAACCCUGACCGAGCAACGCCGCGUGAGUGAAGAAGGUUUUCGGAUCGUAAAGCUCUGUUGUAAGUCAAGAACGAGUGUGAGAGUGGAAAGUUCACACUGUGACGGUAGCUUACCAGAAAGGGACGGCUAACUACGUGCCAGCAGCCGCGGUAAUACGUAGGUCCCGAGCGUUGUCCGGAUUUAUUGGGCGUAAAGCGAGCGCAGGCGGUUUGAUAAGUCUGAAGUUAAAGGCUGUGGCUCAACCAUAGUUCGCUUUGGAAACUGUCAAACUUGAGUGCAGAAGGGGAGAGUGGAAUUCCAUGUGUAGCGGUGAAAUGCGUAGAUAUAUGGAGGAACACCGGUGGCGAAAGCGGCUCUCUGGUCUGUAACUGACGCUGAGGCUCGAAAGCGUGGGGAGCGAACAGGAUUAGAUACCCUGGUAGUCCACGCCGUAAACGAUGAGUGCUAGGUGUUGGAUCCUUUCCGGGAUUCAGUGCCGCACUCUAACGCAUUAAGCACUCCGCCUGGGGAGUACGACCGCAAGGUUG